rnacentral:tRNA from 2 species
GAUUUCAUAGCUCAACAGGUAGAGCACUGCACUUUUAAUGCAGGGGUUGUGGGUUCGAUCCCCACUGGAAUCA